rnacentral:rRNA from 1 species
CAGGUAGGACUACCCGCUGAACUUAAAGCAUAUCAAUAAA